rnacentral:snRNA from 1 species
GCCGCUUCCCAGCUUUUUGGCUCAGCGGAGUAUCUGUUCUUAUCAGAAUAAUCUCUGGUACAGACUCCUUUUGAGAUUUAACUUGAGAUUAAGUUGAUUUUUUGGAAAAUGAUGGAGUGCUGGGCGCUUGUUCCAGCUCUGGUGAAGUUGACUAUAGUUU